UGCAGAAUCCCGUGAACCAUCGAGUUUUUGAACGCAAGUUGCGCCCGAAGCCUUUUGGCCGAGGGCACGUCUGCCUGGGCGUC
rnacentral:rRNA from 3 species